ensembl:misc_RNA Metazoa_SRP Metazoan signal recognition particle RNA
GCCAGGUGUGGUGGUGCGCACCUGUAGUCCCAGCUUCUUGGGAGGCUGAGGCAGGAGGCUCAUUUGAGCCCAGAAGAUCAGGGCUGCAGUGAGCCAUGAUUGCACCACUGCACUCCAGUCUGGGUGACAGGCUGAGACCCUGUCUCAA